GCACGCAAUAAUCUCAGGAGGUCGGAAUGCAUUUUUUUCCCCCGGUUGCAAAGUAUUGCACUAAUCGUCGCCGAGAGCGAGCCCUAGUUCCUCAUUGUCUCGUCCUCGUCCAGUCCAGUGUGCGCCUCGCGCUUGCGAUCCCAUUGCCAACCGAGCCCGCCGCUGCGGAGGGGGCUGGUCGUUGCGAGGAGGAAGGGGGCUUUAUCCAUGGCGCGUCGCCCCGCUGCGAAGCAGCGCAACGGAUCCGGAUGGCGCUCCUCGCUGCUAGAAAAAGGCCACGGAUCCGCUCUCUGGUUGGUAUCAGGGAGUAUGUUUUUUAAUAAAAAAAAAUUAUUUCAAUCCUACAAUUCCCCUUGACUACUAUUACAAGUCUGUGUCCAGUUUAUUUUUAGUAUCAAACUAUCAAUUCCAAAGGGAAAUUCAGGAUUGGCAUGCAGGGCCAAUUAGACAGGUCAUUAGGAUCUAGGAUUGACUGGGCCAAUUAGAUAUUUGCUUAAGUGAAAAAAAUUGAAAGGUUUACUCAGAAGAAGAAAUCUGCUUGUUUUUAACACUACAGACCUUGUGCUUAACCUUUUUUUAAAUACUGAAUUGCAAUUUAUCAUAAGUUUGUUGCGUACUAUGUCCAUUUGUUCUUGUAAAAAUUGCGUAUGAACUCAAAAGGAAAAGAUAACCGAUAUGGUACUUGUGCUUCACAUUUGGAUUGUUGAAAUUGACUGUAAUCAGAAAAUAAUCUUGUUCAAGAAGCGGUUUCAUUAAAUUUCAGCUAGCCAUUGUCAAACUAAAUGCUGUGGUUAACUCUUCUUUCUAUGUCUCUGUAGCCUAUCCUACAUCAAGUACCUGUGCAGGUGCUAGGUAAUCAGAUCAAGAAUUUGCUGCAGUUUGCACUUUUACUACUAAUGGCAUCAUCAGUCGAGCAUCCCUUCCAUGCCACAAUAAGGAACCGAACACGUAAUCCCGGUGAGGCACAUCCACCCGGAAGUUAACCUUGAAAGUCUUCUUUGCACCAUAGUUCUCGAAGACUAGAACUUUUGGGGUCACCGUGACAUUGAUGCCCCGUGGAGCAGACACUACAGCAUGGUGCUGUUAUCUCUAGUUAUUAGGCGUAAGGAGUGGUCAUCAUAGCCUAUUGCACAGAGGAAUGACUUAUAAUCUUCAGAAUAUGCGUCAAAGAUUAUCCCUGGGUUAAGAGCUUUGAUGGGAUCUGCAAAGCCCGAACCAAAAUCGAAAGGGGUUGCUGUUCUUCCAUUAGGAUCGGUGGUUAUGGCAUUGCGUUUGUUGUCCAGUACAGUUGCUGCAAAUAGGAUUUGUCAGAUUGGUAGCUAAAUUGCUGUAUUUGACGAAUACGAUAUCAACUUGUACCUGUUGUCAUGAUUGCUGAUUUGAUUGCAGAAGGAGACCAUGAUGGAUAUGCACCUUUGACAAGAGCAGCUAUUCCUGCAACAUGGGGGCACGCCAUGGAAGUUCCAGAAAGGAUGUUGAAGUGCUUAUCCUCCUUAGCAGGAGACCAUGCUGCCAAUAUGUUCAGCCCAGGAGCACCAAUAUCUGGCUACAGAAUGCCGAAGUUUCUAGUAAACACAUCAGUAAAUAUAUGACCAGUAGUAUUGUUUUUUUCAAGUUUGGUUACCUUCAGAAUCUCUGGUGUCAAUGAAUUUGGACCUCUUGAAGAGAAGGCUGCCACCCUAGGGGCAUCUCUAGAACCUAAAAUCGUCUUCGCUGGUGAAAUUUGAUGGCGAGUUUGCCUCUCCACGCUGGCAUUUCCCUCUCCAUCUUGUAGGAACCGGAGACAUUCCAUGAUCUCUGAAACUAGGGGAUUCUGGCCAUAUUCCUGGGAGAAAGAGGCACAAGGCACACAGAUUCUGUGAAUUACUGGUCAAUAAAAAUCUCUCCAGUUUCUGUCAACCCAAUUUUAUUGCUUAUUUUUUAGGGUGAACAGACAACCAAUAUAAUUGAUGGAAGGGACCCUAUCAUAAUAGGAUUCUGGUGUCACAUGAUGCUUGGAAUGGACAUAACACAGCUAAAACUUCACAGUCCACACUACCUGAAAGAUGAAUACUGAAUAAUACACUUAUUGUAGUUUAUCUCACCUGUGUCAAUAAAUCCAAUAAUGACAUUCUCCUGGUUCUUGCUUGAUAAUUCAGGUACCUCAGCUGCUGUAUCGACGGACAAGCCCAUGAAAUCCCAUGAAUGAGUGGUGUGGAGACUCCUCUUUGCGUUUGGGAACACUGAGAUGACACCAGGCAUAUCUGCAGAAGUAUGUACCAGAGCUGAAACCAUGCAUCCAAUUAAUCAAGCUGCACAACAAGUCCAGAAGAUACGUUGAUGAAUAUCGGCAGCUGGUGAUGAACUCAUCUCAAACCUUCCGUCGUGAACAGCUGUCAGCAUCUGUUGAUGAAGCCUCAGCAUGUCAUGCCGAUCGUCACUGGUGCCCUGCAAUCCUUUGCCCAUGUAAACAACAUAAACCUGAAACCAACAUCCAUCAAGAAUGUGUUAAACCACUGGGAAGAGGUCAAGGAAGAAGAUAAACGCCAAGACAUAAGUGCAGGAGGUAGAGCACAGAGUGAAUGCAAGAAAGUAGAGUUGUGCAUGAUAGGAGAUGGACUACUGACACCAACCUGAGCACAUGAACAAGAGGAAAAGAAUUCUCCUAGUAACACCAGAGAGAGCACGAGGAAGAACAUACUGUCUCUGUCUCUGCCCUGCCAACAAGCCAUGUAUCACAAACACCCACACAUGCAGAGAUAGACAGACAGAAGGGAAUGAGGUUUUAGGUUUUUGAAUUGUAAGCCUGCAACCAUGCAUAUGGCCAGUUUCAUAUGGAAGAGUCUGCCUCGUGAAACUGCCAAGCUACACCACUACCAUAUUUCAGCUAUCUGAAUUGAGCAGCAUGGCAAGUUUAUGGGCAUGUUGGGAGAGCUUCUGGCAGUCACAGCUUCUCUCAGAAUCUCUAGCUCCCUAAACUAUAUAAAUUUUCGAAAAAAUAUUUUUAUAGAAUCUAGAAAAUGAACUAGGAGCCGAAAUGCUAUAAAACUCUUUUUUUCCAUAUUCUGACAAGCUCCCCAAAUAGGGCAUAUACUAUAUAAAGUCAUAAACCUUGGAGCUAGAGGGAUGCAAUGGCUGGCCUUUCAGAACACUUUUCCUGCUACUUCCCUCUUGUUAAACGAAACCGAGAUGGCAACAAGCAUAAAAUGAAGGUAAGCAUCAUGAUACCGUAUGGAGACCAGGCAGCUAAUCAGAGCAAUGACAUGCAGAACUCCUGCUUUUGGAUCCGAUAACAAUAAUAUUGCUGAUACAGAUACAGUGCCGAGAAGAUUGUUGUACCCAGAACGCAAGCCUCUGGGGAGAGUAUCUUGUCGUCAGACACACUCUUUUUUACCUUUUUCCUUUUGUAAAAGGCUAUACAUCUUGAAUACAGAAUACUCCACUUUGCUUUCAUGCCGUUGAGUUGCACAGUAGUAUAUAUGCAUCAGGGCAACAUAGUUUGGAUCUUGUCAGAUCAGCAGCUGGUGUGCAAACUAACGCACCAUAUU